UUUGCAAAAUUUGCCAUCUCACUGUUCACCCCCUUUUUUUAGAUCAUUAAUGAAUAUGUUGAACAGAAGGUCCUAGUACACAUCCUUGGGGGAACCCAGAGUUUACCUCUCUCCACUCUAAAAACUGACGAUUUAUUCCUACCCUUUGUUUCCGAUCCAGUUACUGAGCCAAGAGUGGACAUUCCAUCUUAUUCCAUGACUAUUCACUUUGCUGAGUGCAGACACCUUUGGGAGUCUGGGAUCAGUGGUGUACUGUGACAGUUUUCUUCAUAAGAACAUAAGAAUGGCCAUGUUGGGUCAGACCAAUGGUCCGGCUAGCUUGGAGUGGGAGCUUGUCAAAGGCUUUGUGAAAGUCCAGGGUUUCCAGUUUCCAAACCUGAUGUGAUCUCCCAGCUGGAAUGGGAGGAGGAGCCAUGGGUCCCAGAUCUCCUGGGCUCAGGAGAAAGAGAGAUCCUGAGAGGCAGCCGCACAGGAGAGGAAUCAUUCAACCAACUCAGAAACUGUCAGUACCUGACGGAAACAGCUGGGAUUCCCUACAAAGACCUUGCGAUGGGAUGGUGAGUGCGGAUGCAGAACAGAAUUCUGAGCAGGAAGGUGCUGAGCAAGCGGAACUGCACAGAACAUUAUCACAAAGAUCGAAAGGGAAUGUGUCCAGGAGUCACGAGCAGGGAAAAACCUGGGAAAGUCAGCACAGGCCAGGAAGACAGCUGGGAAACCAAGCAGGGGAGAAAGUGGAUAAAUCCAGUAAUUGUCAGGGAACUCAAAAGGACCUCAAGGAAAGCAGAGGAGAGACAAACAACACAUGCCUUGAGUGUGGGAAAAACUUCAGUCACCACAAUGGCCUUAUUAGACAGGAGAGACUCCACACAGGAGAGAGCCCCUAUGAAUGCUGGGAGUGUAGUACAACCUUCAGUCCGAGUGCAAACCUUUGUACACAUCAGAAAAUCCACAAGGAAUAGAGCCCCUAUGAAUGCUGGGAGUGCAGUGAAACCUUCCCUCUGCGCUUACUCUUUAUCGCAUAUCAGAAGAGCCACACAGGACAGAGAACAUGUAGGUGCUUCUAGUGUGGGGAAAAGCUUCCAUGAGAGCUCAGCUCUUUGUCAGCAGAGAAUCCACCAGGAAGAGAAACCCCCCAAAACCUUGUCUAGAGCUGACAAAAGAUUGUUUUUCUUAAGUGCCACAUAGUGACCUUUAAGGCUGUUUGCACCAUUUGUGUCACUUGCGGGUCCCCCAGAUAAGUUUCCCACUGUUGCCUUUUGGCACCUUAAAGACUAACAGAUUUAUUUGGGCAUAAGCUUUCAUGGGCUACAGCCCACUUCAUCGGAUGCACAGAAUGGAACAUAUAGUGAGGAGAUAUA